rnacentral:rRNA from 1 species
AGAGUUUGAUCAUGGCUCAGAACGAACGCUGGCGGCAUGCCUAACACAUGCAAGUCGAACGAGACCUUCGGGUCUAGUGGCGCACGGGUGCGUAACGCGUGGGAAUCUGCCCUCUGGUACGGAAUAACUCAGGGAAACUUGAGCUAAUACCGUAUAAUGACUUCGGUCCAAAGAUUUAUCGCCUGAGGAUGAGCCCGCGUAGGAUUAGCUAGCUGGUGAGGUAAAAGCUCACCAAGGCGACGAUCCUUAGCUGGUCUGAGAGGAUGAUCAGCCACACUGGGACUGAGACACGGCCCAGACUCCUACGGGAGGCAGCAGUGGGGAAUAUUGGACAAUGGGCGAAAGCCUGAUCCAGCAAUGCCGCGUGAGUGAUGAAGGCCUUAGGGUUGUAAAGCUCUUUUACCCGGGAUGAUAAUGACAGUACCGGGAGAAUAAGCCCCGGCUAACUCCGUGCCAGCCGCCGCGGUAAUAC